rnacentral:rRNA from 1 species
GUUUCUGCGACUGAAUACACCUGAUCUCAUCUGAUCUGCAAAGCUAAGCAGGGUUGGGCCUGGUUAGUAUUUGGAUGGGAGACUACCUGGGAAUACCAGGUGCUGUAAGCU